GACGAACGCUGGCGGCGUGCUUAACACAUGCAAGUCGAACGGUAAGGCCCUUCGGGGUACACGAGUGGCGAACGGGUGAGUAACACGUGGGUGAUCUGCCCUGCACUUCGGGAUAAGCCUGGGAAACUGGGUCUAAUACCGGAUAGGACCACUGCCUGCAUGGGCGGUGGUGGAAAGCUUUUGCGGUGUGGGAUGGGCCCGCGGCCUAUCAGCUUGUUGGUGGGGUGAUGGCCUACCAAGGCGACGACGGGUAGCCGGCCUGAGAGGGUGACCGGCCACACUGGGACUGAGAUACGGCCCAGCCUCCUACGGGAGGCAGCAGUGGGGAAGAUUGCACAAUGGGCGCAAGCCUGAUGCAGCGACGCCGCGUGAGGGAUGACGGCCUUCGGGUUGUAAACCUCUUUCAGCACCGACGAAGCGCAAGUGACGGUAGGUGCAGAAGAAGGACCGGCCAACUACGUGCCAGCAGCCGCAGUAAGAC
rnacentral:rRNA from 1 species